GGGUGGGGGGAAAAAGGGAGAGAGGAAGCCCACCGAAGGUGCCUCCACACUGUUGCCGGCGAGAAGUUUAACCGCCGUGUAUGUGCGUGUGUGUGAAAGGAGCGGGGAAAAGAAGAGGGCAGCAAGCGAGCGAAGCGAACGGAGUUGGCAGGUUUGUUCUAAACUGCUUAAAACAACUAUGACACCUGCUCUUCAAGAAAAAACAAUAAAAGGCCAAAGCAUCUAUUUAGCACCUACCUUAUCUUCAGGAGCUGUGGAGUCCAGUGAAACAUUAGGCAUGGGAAAUCCCUUACCAGUAAAAGACAUGCUAAAGAAUAAUUCUGUUGCAAAGAUUACAUGUUCUGUGCUAGGGCUUCCCACCUGUUGCACUAACCAUAGCACUAAUAAUUUUAAUUUAGAGUACUUUGAUUCCCAUUCUUCUAGAGAUUAUCCUUUAUUAACCAGCCCCAAUCUGGCUUUUGGUGUAAAUAAUAAAAAUCAUACGCAGACAAAUUUGGAACAUAAUUGCUCCAAGAUGAGAAAUCCUUUAGGUAACAACACUAAUGCACACUUUAAUAAAAUGAACAAUUUAGAAUCUGGGGUACAGAUUAGAGGACACACUUCAUUAGGAACAGCAAACAACUCAUUAAGAAUGGGAAGGUUAUUGGAUUCACACGUAACUGAAUCUAAUUAUGCAGAAGAAAAACAGCUUCCUAACUGUAAAUGGCAUCAGACAAAUGGCUUGUUGGGAAAAGCCUCAUUUGUAAAUCCUGAGAUGCAAAAAGGAGACUUGUAUCAAGUGCACUAUGAUGCCCUGGCAUCAACAAAGAAUUGUACUCCCAGUGGUAAAGAACAGGAAUUAAAUUUUCGCUUGCUUCAGUGUGUAAACAAGCAGCAGGUUUUGCUCAGCCGGGCCAAAAGAACUCAAAAACGUUUACAAAUUAUGUUGGCAAAGCAUGUUGUCAGACACUGUGAGCAGCAGAUGAAAUGCAUUGUGAGACAUCAGAUACAGAGAAUGAAAGCUUUUCAUGACCCAGCCAGUGUUUUGGAUAGCAACUACCACGGAUGCACCACAGCUAAAAAUGAAAACUACAAUCUAGAGGCAAACAGUAAAGAUGUGGAGCACCAUUGUGGCAUUGCAUCUGGUGAAAUCAAGGUGUUUGCUCGUACUACAGCUGGGCUGCUAUCUCAGAUGGAAGAGAGUUUGGAUUCUGAGGCCACUUGUAGCAGUUCAAGUGAAGAUGAUGAUGAGCAGAUUUCCAGAAAUGUUGUGGCAGUUAACUAUAGAUCUGACUGGAAAUGGCUGGUAGACAGAGCUAAAGUUGGCUGCCGUUGGACAUGGCUUCAAGCCCAGAUUUCAGAGCUAGAGUACAAAAUCCAGCAACUCACUGACCUUCACAGGCAGAUCCGUGCUACGAAGGGAAUGGUGAUGCUAGAAGAAUUUUCAAUCCCAAAGGACAUCAUGAAGAAACGGACACAACUGACAGAUCAUGAAGCUUUAUUAAACACCACAGGGAGUUCUCAGGCUUCCCUUGAGAGACAGGAUGCUUGGCCGGAACAUGAUUUUGAAAUGUCACCUAGUAGUCCAACUCUGCUUCUUCGUAACAUAGAAAAACAGAGUGCACAGCUGAGUGAAAUAAUCAAUAGUCUCAUUGCUCCUCUUAAUUUAUCUCCCACCUCCUCUCCUCUAUCUUCAAAGUCCUGUAUGCAGAAGGAGUUGGUCAAUGGCAUCUCAUUACAAGAUCCAAAAAACACUGGAGAAAUUUCAUCUUCCAGUAGUUGGUUAGUUGACCAACAGCACCUAAAGAGAAGAAGGAAAGAUAAAACAAAGGUGAAAACAUCGCCUGUUGUAGUGAUGAGUACAUCUGCUCGUACUAGACCACUUACAAGUUUCCAGAAGAGAAGACUCUACAAAAUGAGCUCUGCUUUCAUUUCAAAUCAACAGGCUAUGCAACUAAGAGAUGCUUUGUUUAACACAGACGAGGGUAUUCCGGUCUCCAUGUGGCAUAGUUGCGAGUUUAGCAGGAUGUCUGGGACGCAGAAACAACUCAUGUUAGAGCUGGAUGCUUCAUUCCAUCCUGUCUUAUCAUUUCCUUCAGAUACUCCUCUUCAUGUACAUUUUAAAACAUUGCUCAAAAAGAAUGAGGUAAAAGGUGAUCCUUUGGAAACUUCUGCUAUUGAUUCAGAGUGUACAAUGUCUCCAUCAACUGAAUAUUGUUUGUAUAGAGCUCCUGCUCAGCAGUGGAAUUCUGGAUAUGAGUCCAGUUUGAAACAUCAGAUUGUGUCAAAAUUGUCUGAGCAGCUGCCGGAUGGAAGAAAGAAAAGGCACUUAAGUGAGACAGUGACUGGAGAAAAUAACAAUAGAUUAGAGACAUACUGUUUUCAGCAUGAAGAUCAGGAGCCCCAAGCCCAUUUUGCAGGAGCAACCAUUGGAGACAUGACAUCUAAAUCACAGCUACAUUCAAGGCGGAGACUGAGAAGUGAGAGCUCAUAUGAUAUAGAUAAUAUUGUCAUCCCAAUGUCGCUGGUUGCACCAUCGAAGCUGGAGAAACUGCAGUAUAAAGAAAUUCUCACUCCAAGCUGGAGAAUGGUUAGCCUAGAGCCUUUGGGAAGUCUAAAGGAGGAUGAAGAAAAGGUGGAGGAUCUGUCUGAUGAGAACUAUGCUGCACGCCAUGCAAAGUAUGAAGACAAAGAAAGAGCUCGAUGGUCACUGUGGGAGCAAAGUCAGUGGCCAAGAAGGAAUAGAUCAAACAGUAGAAGUUCUGAGGUACAGGAUCUGGCACAAAAAGAAAAACAGGUCAACUCUGAUUUAACAACACAUUUUUCAGAAAACAGUGCUGACAUUACUCCAGAAAUCUGCAGUUCUUUGUACUUGGGAGCACCACAAUCUUCAGAAGGAACUCAUGAAGCAAGGUCAAUUCUGUGGGAACCUCGAGUCUUUCCAUUAAAAGAUAAGGACACAGACACUUUAACAUUCCAGUAUCAGAUAACAGCUCCACAAGAAAGCUCAAAUGUGGCCAUUCUGAGUGACUCUGAUUGUACUUCCUGUGCUGCCUUCCGUUUUCCAAAUACACACCAACUGGAAGAAGAUAGCCAAGUUUCUUUGGGAAUUGGCACCAUGAGAAAACAGACGUGACACAAAAUGCUGUGGUCAUUAAGAAAACUAAUUAGCAUCACGAAAUGUGUAAGGCAGGAUAAGAACCUAAAACUAGUUUCUUUUUUUACCUGAAGCACACAAAGAAUGUUUUCACUCUGAAGGUCUAACAUCUUUGCUGUCAGAAGAGGAUGCUCUUAAACGGCUUCUAACAUUUGUUGUCAUACUAUGAAAGACUGGAAGGAUGACUUUGUGUGUAUGUAUUGCUGUAGUACAUCUUAACAUGAUGGGUUUUCCUGCACUUAGCAUUGCAAUGGUUUUAGAUGUGCACAGAAGCAGCUGCCUAGCAGGUGUUUACAUAUGAGUGACUUAAGUACACAAGUGUACUGCCCUUUCAAAGAACAUGUUUAGCCCAGUGACCAAUCAGCAUUUAUAUGUUUGAUAAUGUGAAACAUAUCCCGUUCUUUUCUUAGAGAGAAAUCCAGAACUAUAUAGGAGUUCAGAUUAAUUUAAAUAAUUGAUUUUCCUGAAUUUCACAGUGGUUCCCAUUUCAGUUUUUGACAGCAAAGAAUGGAAGGGAUUAGGCAAUUUGAAUUCUCUAUUACAGGAGAAAUUUAGCAUUUUUACUACUAAUAUUUUUAUUAUUUAAAAAAAUCCUUUCCAGGUAUCUACAAAAACUAAGCAGAUUAUGAGCAUUUAUUCCAUAACUUAUGCUAAAAUAUAGACAAUAUUUGUUUGUUUAAAUGCCAGCAUUACAAAAAGCAUAAUUUUAUAUGGAAAGAGAAAACCUAGCCAGAUUUCCAAAACAGCUGUUUUGAAUGCUAUCUGCAUCUUUCAGUGGGCUAUGUACACAAUAAAACGCUCAUUACAAGGCUGUGCUCGAUAACAGUAUAAAACUGUUGUAAGCCGCCCAGAGACCUUCGACUAGAGUGGGCGGCAUAUAACUUAAAUAAACAAAUAAAAUAAUAAAUAAAACUGCCAGCCACACUCAGUGCAGGUACCAGCUGUGGUUAAGAGGAGAGCUCUUAUGUGAAAAACUGUUGAAGCCAUUUGAAAAAGCAUAGUUGUUAACCAAGUUUUUAUUUAACGUCAUAUCCAGAACUAAACUACGAUGGAUAGAUGACCCAAAUUUAGUAACCCCCACGGAGCAGAAGGACACUGAAUACUGCAACAAAUGUUCGGUUGCAUUUCAACACUACAGCCUAUGUUAGAUUGUAGUUUACUGCAACUUUUGGUUUUUUUUAAAAUGCUUUUUGUCCACAGAAUUAAACUUGAAUCUUGCCUCUGAUAUAGUAAUUUCAGUGCAGGCUUUUAAAAAUUAAAAUCUAUUUCUGUACACUA